AACGAACGCCGGCGGCAGGCUUAACACAUGCAAGUCGAGCGCCCCGCAAGGGGAGCGGCAGGCGGGUGAGUAACGCGUGGGAAUCUACCCAUCUCUACGGGAUAACGCAUGGAGACGUGUGCUAAUACCGUAUACGUCCUUCGGGAGAAAGAUUUAUCGGAGAUGGAUGAGCCCGCGUUGGAUUAGCUAGUUGGUGGGGUAAAGGCCUACCAAGGCGACGAUCCAUAGCUGGUCUGAGAGGAUGAUCAGCCACACUGGGACUGAGACACGGCCCAGACUCCUACGGGAGGCAGCAGUGGGGAAUAUUGGACAAUGGGCGCAAGCCUGAUCCAGCCAUGCCGCGUGAGUGAUGAAGGCCCUAGGGUUGUAAAGCUCUUUCACCGGUGAAGAUAAUGACGGUAACCGGAGAAGAAGCCCCGGCUAACUUCGUGCCAGCAGCCGCCGCGGUAA
rnacentral:rRNA from 1 species